AUGGCAGGUAUAGAAUUUUCUGUCAUGCAACCAUAGACGGUCACAUACAUCAAAACAGUUGGUUCCUGCCGACAGAGUCUGUAUAGUUAUCAGAUUUUCUGUGCGAUGGCUCCAUACAUA